GUAAUCCGACGACACGGUAUUGAGGUUGAGAACCCCGCCAGGGUCGAAAGGCAGCAACGGUAUCAAUUCAAGGUGCGCGUGUCUUAAUCGGAUUGCUCU
rnacentral:SRP_RNA from 1 species